rnacentral:rRNA from 1 species
UGGUUCCUACGGGGCGCAGCAGUGGGGGAUAUUGCACAAUGGGGGGAACCCUGAUGCAGCGACGCCGCGUGGGUGAAGGAGCGUUUCGGUAUGUAAAGCUCUAUCAGCAGGGAAGAAAAUGACGGUACCUGACUAAGAAGCCCCGGCUAACUACGUGCCAGCAGCCGCGGUAAUACGUAGGGGGCAAGCGUUAUCCGGAUUUACUGGGUGUAAAGGGAGCGUAGACGGCUAAUCAAGUCAGAAGUGAAAACCCAGGGCUCAACCUUGGGACUGCUUUUGAAACUGAGUAGCUAGAGUGCAGGAGG